AUGGCGCCGCCGCAGCACGAUCCCCGCCGGCCCUACAAGCGCGCCGCCAUCUCCGACCAGCAGCGCCGCCGCGACUCCGCGCUGCGGACCCAGUCCGCCCGGCGCGCCGACGCCCAGGCGCGCGCACGCAGCCUCGCCAACUCCCUCCUGUCCCCCCCGUCGUCUUCCUCCGACGACCAACCGCCUACCUCCCCCGACGCCCACGGAGACGAGCCCGCCGUCGCCGAAGUUGCCGCGGCCGCAGCCAAGCUCCGCGGCCCCGACCAGCGCCGCUGGUUCGCCCGCCAGAUCAUGCUCCCGGAGUGGAUGGUCGACGCCCCUCCCCACCUCGCCCGCGACUGGCAUGUUUGUGCCAGGCCUGCCGGCAAACGAUGCCUGGUCAUGUCGUCCAACGGCAUCACGAUCAGCAGGCUCCGUAACGGGACCAUUCUCCACCGGUUUCCUUCCGCCCUGCCCAACGGAUCAAAGAGGGGAAUCUCUGGCCCAGCAAGCUCCUACUCUAUCCUCGACUGCAUAUUCCACGAGCUUGAUGAGACAUACUAUAUUGUCGAUAUGAUAUGUUGGCGAGGUUAUUCGUUGUAUGAUUGCACUGCUGAGUUCAGGUUUUUCUGGGUGAACUCGAAGCUCACGGAGACCUCAGCUGGUGACCCUCCGUCGACCUACCAUCGGUAUAGAUUCAGCGCCGUCUCCAUGUAUGAGUCCACCCUUGAGGGUCUUCAAGCGGCAUAUUCGCUAAGCACACCUUAUGUCAAGGAUGGUUUGCUGUUUUACAACAAGCAUGCACAUUAUCAAUCUGGAAUCACACCCCUUACACUGGUAUGGAAAGAUGGGACUUGCAGUCAAUAUGUUCUUGAUACGGAUAGUGAAGGACAAGUACCAACCGAGCAGCAUGUUGUGUUGGAGCUGCAAGAGGAUGGCAAUCUAAUUACGUCUGAUGACCCUCCAAUUGUGUUUGGUAGCUUGAACAGCGAAUUUGUACAGAAGUCAAACCUGCGGCCAGGGAACCUUCUCCGCUUCAGUGUAAGAGAUGAAAGCGUGAAACUUGUGGAUGGAAAGAUGGAGAUUGGUGAGCUGCAGUUUGUCGGGAAGCUGAACCGUUCUCGUAAUUUUGCUGACAGCCACUCCAAAAUUCUAUUCCAGUAUGCUGCCAGGCAUGCUUCUCUUAGAAUUGAGGAUCUGAUAGCCUCUGUUCAGUCAAACAGUAUGGAGGUUGAAUCUACAGAUAUUGAAAUGCAAGACUGAGGUGCCAAUUUCUAUGUCAUGUUUUUGCACUUGUCAUUGAAGCUGAUUUUGGCGUUUGACUGGAUACCAUGUUGGGAUGAAAUCGUUCCAAAUGAGACAAAGGUCUGUCUCUCAUUUGUGCGUUGUUGAGGAACCACCCUGAUCAUACCAAGCUGUCAUCACACGAAGUCCUUUAAAACAUUGUACCAACUCUUGUGCCUUGGGUAAGCCAGUUGAGGCAUUCAGACAGAGAUCUGUGCAAACGACGUGAUGGUCUGGAAGCCAUGGUCUUCGGGGAGCGGCGCGUUUCCAGGCCUGAUAGAUAUGAGCACCUCAAAACCUGUGAAAUCGAAAUGUAUGAUGAGUCUGAAAAGAUAAGCCUUGGCAUGUACAUGUAUAUGCAGAAAUGCAUGCUACUGCUUUCGAAUAGCUGAAAGAUGCUUGAAAUGAGAUGCGGUUUUUCAGUUAUGUAUA